rnacentral:misc_RNA from 1 species
ACACCUCAACUCUCAUGGUCUUCCAUGAUGAGCUUGGACUUUGGAGGUUUGCUGGCCCUGCGGCCGGCUCCUCUCAAAUGAAUCAGCUUGCCAGUGUUUGGUGGCGUCACGGGUGUGAUAACUAUCUACGCUCGCGGUCGUCCGCCAGGUAACCCUCAGCGAUGAAGGUUCAUUGGGGCUUAUAAACGUCUCUCCUCGGCGAGGACAACUUUUGAAC